UUUUCAUGAGUGUCUGGUCUUAUAUCAAGAUAAGAAAGAUCUUCAAGGGAUCAUUUAGUAUUUGCUAAAGAAGUUUUAUAUCUUGAUUGAUUGGUUUUUGUUCUAAAAGGAUCCUAAAAACAAUAAUAUAUGGUGAAUUGUGAUGAAAAACUUCAAAGCAUUUUUUGCUUCGGAAGCAACAUGUGGAGCUACUCGAGCUUUUGCCACUUUUUAGAUUCUGUAUAAUUGAUUUAUUUUCUUAGUUAAAU
rnacentral:lncRNA from 1 species